AUGAAACACUGACCUCAACAGCCUUGCAGCUGUGCCCAGCCAUUGCUGAUUUGCAUGUGCCAGAGCACAACAGGCUGCCCUGAGGACUUCUCCAUCAUCAGGUCACACUCUGUGCUAGAGUCAGCCUCACACUGGUCACAGUGCAGAUAUGAGGGCCCCCACUCAGCUCCUGGGGUUGCUGCUGCUUUGGCUUAGAGGUGCCAAAUGUGACAUCCAGUUGACUCAGUCUACGGAGUUAUUGUCAGCAUCACUGGAAGACACUGUCACCAUCACAUGCCAGUCAAGUCAGAACAUUUACAAUGCUUUAGCAUGGUAUCAGCAGAAACCAGAGGAACCUCCUAAGCUCCUGAUCUAUAAUUCAAAGAGCUUGGCAGAUGGGAUCCCAUCGAGGUUCAGUGGUAGUGGAUCUGGUACACAGUAUUCUCUCAAGAUCAGCAGCCUGCAGCCUGAAGAUGUGGCAACUUAUUUCUGUCAGCAGGCUUUUAGUACUCCACCCACAGUGAUUCAAGCCAUGACAUAA